GGGCUCGCCACUUCCGGCUUGCUCGGCCAAGAUGGCAGCGGCAGUGCCGCUCGCAGCCCUUCCGCUUCCUCCUAGACUGGCGGCGUGCAAUGGCUCCUGCAGGUGCAGGCGCCGCGGGGAGUGUGUGCGUGUGCCUGGGGGAAACGCUGCAAGCAGCCAUUCCGGGUGGGGAAGCUCCUCUGUUCAAGAAAUAGCACAGAACCGAGUCCGGGCAUAUUCUUUUACCAUGCAGCAGAUCCAGCUCAAAUGAAGGAGAGAAAGAGCUUUGUCUGUCCUCAGAGCCCAAUGCAGACCGUAGCCCAGUGCUGUCAGAGCGGAAUGGGCAAAGCAUGAGGCUCUGGGCCUGUUUGCGUGGCUAUGAAGAGGCAGGAUGGCCAGGCGAAUGAUUUGAUCUGACUUGGUCCCUCUCCAAACCUCUAAGGAACGUUCACGAGAAGGCGUUUGCCACCUGGACACAAUGAGGCCUCGUUGGAGGGACAAGCGAGAAGCUGGCUGGGAGCCAGAGGCCCGGUUUGAAUGGCUGUUGCCAAGGGGCUGCCAACAGUCCAUCUCAACCCCCAAGAGGCUGACCCAGGAUGGGGUGGGGGCCACCCCUCCCCACCUUGGAGGCCACAACUCACACCAUUUGUGGGCCAGGCCGUGAUCAGAAUGUGCGGGGACAAGGUGGCUUUGAGUGGCUGAGCAGAGCCUCUCCCCCUCUGCUGGCUCCGGCCUCACUUGGAUUAGAGCCUGCUCAGGGAGUCCCUUUGUUGGCUGCUUGUUAUUCCACAUGCACUGAGCACUGCGCAUUCAUCUUUAUUAGUUCUAAUUGCUUCCCCAUUCUAAUGGGAUCUUGAUAUUCCCAUACAAUUGAAAGGAAAUGUAUUCAUUAAAAUAAUUCUUCUAACUGCCGCUUC
rnacentral:lncRNA from 1 species